rnacentral:rRNA from 1 species
GACGAACGCUGGCGGCGUGCUUAACACAUGCAAGUCGAGCGGAGCGGCGGACGGGUGAGUAAUGCCUAGGAAUCUGCCUGGUAGUGGGGGAUGACGUCCGGAAACGGGCGCUAAUACCGCAUACUCUCAGCUGAGCCUAGGCCGGAUUAGCUAGUUGGGGGGGUAAAGGCCUAGCAAGGCGACGAACCGUAACUGGUCUGAGAGGAUGAUCAGUCACACUGGAACGGAGACACGGUCCAGACUCCUACGGGAGGCAGCAGUGGGGAAUAUUGGAAAAUGGGCGAAAGCCUGAUGCAGCCAUGCCGCGUGUGUGAAGAAGGUCUUCGGAUUGUAAAGCACUUUAAGUUGGGAGGCGUUACCAACAGAAGAAGCACCGGCUAACUUCGUGCCAGCAGCCGCGGUAAUUC